rnacentral:tRNA from 1 species
AGGGCUUUAAGUUAAUCAAACUAUUAUCCUUCAAAGUUAAAAAUAUAAUUCUGUUAUAAGUCUUA